UACAGAGGGUGCGAGCGUUAAUCGGAAUUACUGGGCGUAAAGCGCGCGUAGGCGGCUUUGCAAGUCGGGUGUGAAAUCCCCAGGCUUAACCUGGGAACUGCAUUCGAGACUGCAUUGCUAGAGUAUGGGAGAGGGAAGUGGAAUUUCCGGUGUAGCGGUGAAAUGCGUAGAUAUCGGAAGGAACAUCAGUGGCGAAAGCGGCCGGCUGGGCCUGUCCUGACGCUGAGACGCGAAAGCGUGGGGAGCGAACCGG
rnacentral:rRNA from 1 species